GACGAACGCUGGCGGCGUGCUUAACACAUGCAAGUCGAACGGAAAGGCCCUGCUUGCAGGGUACUCGAGUGGCGAACGGGUGAGUAACACGUGGGUGAUCUGCCCUGCACUUCGGGAUAAGCCUGGGAAACUGGGUCUAAUACCGGAUAGGAGCCAUUUUUAGUGUGAUGGUUGGAAAGUUUUUUCGGUGUAGGAUGAGCUCGCGGCCUAUCAGCUUGUUGGUGGGGUAAUGGCCUACCAAGGCGGCGACGGGUAGCCGGCCUGAGAGGGUGGACGGCCACAUUGGGACUGAGAUACGGCCCAGACUCCUACGGGAGGCAGCAGUGGGGAAUAUUGCACAAUGGGCGCAGGCCUGAUGCAGCGACGCCGCGUGGGGGAUGACGGCCUUCGGGUUGUAAACUCCUUUCGCUAGGGACGAAGCUUUUGUGACGGUACCUAGAUAAGAAGCACCGGCUAACUACGUG
rnacentral:rRNA from 1 species